UGCGGUUCAAAGUCUUAAACUGGGGUUAACAAGCGCGGAAUGUACAUUUAUUAUCUAACUGUUGAAUAUAUACAGUAAAAAUACUAAAAUGAAAGUUUUGACACACCAUGCGAAUGUCCUAUCAAGUAAAGGUGACGAUUAACCAAAAUGAAGUGUAAUAUAACCUAAUUUCAAUGGGUUUUAUGCGGUUCGAGUGUUCACAAAACACCGGUUGACCUUGAAAAUGACAUGGGACGAUGAUGGGUAAAAAACAAUCUCGUCGAAUAACAUUUCUCAAUUAUCAACGAGUUUAAGCCGUUGACACUGCAUUGCAUGGGAAGAAAAGGUGAUAUUAGAACAGUGUUCAGAUGGAUCUAUUCAGUGUCAUAACUGUAAAAAAAUGGUCGCAUCGUCAGUGCUAUGACAUGUCGGACACAGACCUAAAAUCAUGGUCUCCAUCGUACCUUAAGUUUGUGUGUCAAAAGUGUGGAUUUCGUAAUGGAAAGUACGACGUCGAAGCUGCACUCAAGAGCAGUCAUGUGCAAUAGGUGCGUAUCUAAAAUUCUUGUCAAGAGAGUCUACAGACAGUUGGUGCCCUGGAGAUUGGAGACUCCCAUCAUAUGCUGUCACUAAAUGGAGCGCAGUAAAUUUUGCGACCUACACAUUUUCCA